CUGACCAGGAUUCUCCCAGUAACGGCGAGUGAACGGAGAUUAGCCCAUCACCGAAGCCCAUUCGUGUUUGCGAACAGGGCCAUGUGGUGUUAGGGUGUGUGCCUGGGGCUGCUGACCUAUUUGAAGUCCGACUUCGAUUACGGCUUGGAAUUGUCCCACAGCGGGUGAAAGGCCCGUUCGGAUAGGUUCAGGCAAUCAGCGGUCCUCAGAUGCGCAUACCUACGAGUCGGAUUGCUUGAGAAUGCAGUCCAAAGUGGGUGGUAAACUCCAUCCAAGGCUAAAUACUGGCUCGAGUCCGAUAGUAGACAAGUACCGUGAGGGAAAGUUGAAAAGUACUCUGAAGAGAGAGUAAACAGUACGUGAAGCCAUUUGCAGGGAAGCUGGUGGAGUCAAGCUUCCCGCCCGGUUAACUGCUGCUCGAGGCAAUCUGUGCCGAACGUGUUGCUGGUCAAAUUGCUGAGGUUUGGACACAUCCGUGUGUUUCAAGUCGCACCGGGAGUGCGUUUGUACCAGUUGCAUUGUUCUGUCUCGAGUAGUGAAUUGGCCCGGGUGGAAAUCACGAUGGACAGUGUAUGUGCUGUGCGAUGUUCUAACUGUAUCGUGGGCUACAGCAAUGUUGGCUCGGUGCGGGAUGGCAAGU
rnacentral:rRNA from 1 species